rnacentral:rRNA from 1 species
CAGGUAGGUGGUUUGGUAAGUCUGUUGUGUAAGCUCCCGGCUUAACUGGGAGAGGUCAACGGAAACUACCAGGCUUGAGUAUGGGAGAGGGUACUGGAAUUCCCGGUGUAGCGGUGAAAUGCGCAGAGAUCGGGAGGAACACCAAAGGCGAAAGCAGGUACCUGGACCAUUACUGACACUCAGCUGCGAAAGCUAGGGGAGCAAACAA